rnacentral:rRNA from 1 species
GAUGAACGCUGGCGGCGUGCCUAACACAUGCAAGUCGAGCGAUUCUCUUCGGAGAAGAGCGGCGGACGGGUGAGUAACGCGUGGGUAACCUGCCCUGUACACACGGAUAACAUACCGAAAGGUAUGCUAAUACGAGAUAAUAUACUUUUAUCGCAUGGUAGAAGUAUCAAAGCUCCGGCGGUACAGGAUGGACCCGCGUCUGAUUAGCUAGUUGGUAAGGUAACGGCUUACCAAGGCGACGAUCAGUAGCCGACCUGAGAGGGUGAUCGGCCACAUUGGAACUGAGACACGGUCCAAACUCCUACGGGAGGCAGCAGUGGGGAAUAUUGCACAAUGGGCGAAAGCCUGAUGCAGCAACGCCGCGUGAGCGAUGAAGGCCUCGGUCGUAAAGCUCUGUCCUCAAGGAAGAUAAUGACGGUACUUGAGGAGGAAGCCCGGCGUAACUACGUGCCAGCAGCCGCGGUAAU